GGAGAGCUGUCCGAGCUGGCCGAAGGAGCACGAUUGGAAAUCGUGUAUGCCCCAAAAGGGUAUCUAGGGUUCGAAUCCCUAGCUCUCCG
rnacentral:tRNA from 1 species